GAUCAAAUCAAGCGCGAAAAGGGCGUUUGGUGAAUGCCUUGGCAGUAAGAGGCGAUGAAAGACGUGAUACUCUGCGAUAAGCCAUGAGGAGCUGAGAAUAAGCUUUGAUCCAUGGAUUUCUGAAUGGGGCAACCCACCUGAUACUGUGUUAUUGUUGCCGCUUCGGCGGCAGUCAAUAAUGCGGUAAAACAGGUAUUUUUAACCUGAAUACAUAGGGUUAAAAAGGCAAACCCGGGGAACUGAAACAUCUAAGUACCCGGAGGAAAGGAAAUCAAUAUGAUACUCCCCUAGUAGCGGCGAGCGAACGGGGACCAGCCGAGCCAUGAGU
rnacentral:rRNA from 1 species